rnacentral:lncRNA from 1 species
GGGAUUCGCUAGCGGCGCCCUCUAGUGGCGUUUCGCGGAGCCUUGGCGGAAACCCUACUGGGAGCCGGUGUGUCCCCCAGUAACAUUUGCAAAUGAAAGAAGGCACUCAUGAAAGGUGGCCGGGUACCACUGUAUCAAUGGCCCAGUUGCCCAUCUCCUGGCGAGAGAUUUCCCUAAGUGACCUGGAAGUGUCACUAUUACCACCGCCCCACAUGAAUCUUGUGCUGGAGGCGACUAGAGCUGUGUGUCCCUCAGCAGAAGCAGGUGGCAUAAGCAAGAGUUCCAUUUUGGUUUCAUUUUCAGAGGACCCCAAUUGCGCAGUCUGCAAGAAAUAAUGUGCCUCUCAGGAUGGUUCCAAGCUGAGCCCAAAUCACUGAGGGAGAUUCACUGCUUGCUAACAUGAACUUUAUUCCUGGAUAAACAAGUCCCAAACCGUCUUGUCCAUAUGCCACCACGGUCAGGUCAAAACACACAUUAUCAGCUGGGUGCGGUGGCUCACGCUUGUAAUCCCAGCACUUCGGGAGGCCGAGGUGGGCGGAUCACUUGAGGUCAGGAGUUGGAGAUCAGCCUGGCCAACAUGGUGAAACCCCGUCUCUACUAAAAAUACAAAAAUUAGCCGGGCGUGGUGGUACGUGUCUGUAGUCCCAGGUACUCAGAAGGCUGAAGACAUGAGAAUCGCUUGAACCCAGGGGGCGGAGGUUGCUGAGCUGAGAUCAUGCCACUGCACUCGAGCCUGGACAACAGAGUGAGAUCCUAUGCCAAAAACAAACAAUAAAAACCAACAACAAAAAA